GAUUAAAUGGCUGAAGUUUUAGGCAAUAAAUUGUAAAUUUAUUUAUGGGAAUUAUUCUCUUUAAUCA
rnacentral:tRNA from 3 species